rnacentral:rRNA from 1 species
AUUGAACGCUGGCGGCAGGCCUAACACAUGCAAGUCGAGCGGAUGAAGGGAGCUGGCUCCUGGAUUCAGGGGCGGAGGGGUGAGUAAUGGCUAGGAAUGUGAAUGGUCGUGGGGGAUAAGGUCCGGUAACGGGCGCUAAUACGGAAUACGUCCUGAGGGGGAAAGUGGAGGAUAUUGGGAUCCCACGCUAUUAGAUGAGCCUAGGUCGGAUUAGCUAGGUGGUGGGGUAAGGGCCUACCAAGGCGACGAUCCGUAACUGGUCUGAGAGGAUGAUCAGUCACACUGGAACUGAGACACGGUCCAGACUCCUACGGGGAGCAGCAGUGGGGAAUAUUGGACAAUGGGCGAAAGCCUGCUCCAGCCAUGCCGCGUGGGUGAAGAAGGUCUUCGGAUUGUAAAGCACUUUAAGUUGGGAGGAAGGGCAGUAAGUUAAAACCUUGCUGUUUUGACGUUACCAACAGAAUAAGCACCGGCUAACUUCGUG